AGUGAACGCUGGCGGUAGGCCUAACACAUGCAAGUCGAACGGCAGCACAGUAAGAGCUUGCUCUUACGGGUGGCGAGUGGCGGACGGGUGAGGAAUACAUCGGAAUCUACUUUUUCGUGGGGGAUAACGUAGGGAAACUUACGCUAAUACCGCAUACGACCUACGGGUGAAAGCAGGGGAUCUUCGGACCUUUCGCGAUUGAAUGAGCCGAUGUCGGAUUAGCUAGUUGGCGGGGUAAAGGCCCACCAAGGCGACGAUCCGUAGCUGGUCUGAGAGGAUGAUCAGCCACACUGGAACGGAGACACGGUCCAGAAUCCUACGGGAGGCAGCAGUGGGGAAUAUUGGACAAUGGGCGCACGCCUGAUCCAGCCAUACCGCGUAGGUGAAGAAGGCCUUCGGGUUGUAAAGCCCUUUUGUUGGGAAAGAAAAGCAGCAGGUUAAUACCCCGCUGUUCUGACGGUACCCAAAGAAUAAGCACCGGCUAACUUCGUG
rnacentral:rRNA from 1 species